GCGGCGAACGGGUGAGUAACACGUGGGUGAUCUGCCUCGUACUCUGGGAUAAGCCUGGGAAACUGGGUCUAAUACCGGAUAUGACCACGAAUCGCAUGGUUUGUGGUGGAAAGAUUUAUCGGUGCGAGAUGGGCCCGCGGCCUAUCAGCUUGUUGGUGGGGUAAUGGCCUACCAAGGCGACGACGGGUAGCCGGCCUGAGAGGGCGACCGGCCACACUGGGACUGAGACACGGCCCAGACUCCUACGGGAGGCAGCAGUGGGGAAUAUUGCACAAUGGGCGGAAGCCUGAUGCAGCGACGCCGCGUGCGGGAUGACGGCCUUCGGGUUGUAAACCGCUUUCGACAGGGACGAAGCGUGAGUGACGGUACCUGUAGAAGAAGCACCGGCCAACUACGUGCCAGCAGCCGCGGUAAUACGUAGGGUGCGAGCGUUGUCCGGAAUUACUGGGCGUAAAGAGCUUGUAGGCGGUUUGUCGCGUCGUUCGUGAAAACUUGGGGCUCAACCCCAAGCUUGCGGGCGAUACGGGCAGACUAGAGUACUGCAGGGGAGACUGGAAUUCCUGGUGUAGCGGUGAAAUGCGCAGAUAUCAGGAGGAACACCGGUGGCGAAGGCGGGUCUCUGGGCAGUAACUGACGCUGAGAAGCGAAAGCGUGGGUAGCGAACAGGAUUAGAUACCCUGGUAGUCCACGCCGUAAACGGUGGGUACUAGGUGUGGGUUUCCUUCCACGGGAUCCGUGCCGUAGCUAACGCAUUAAGUACCCCG
rnacentral:rRNA from 1 species